rnacentral:misc_RNA from 1 species
GUAGGUGAACCUGCGGAAGGAUCAUUACCGAGUAAGGGUCUCUCAGGCCCGACCUCCCACCCUUUGUGUACCUACCUUGUUGCUUUGGCGGGCCCGUGGGGAAACUCACCGGUGGCCUUGCGCUGCCGAGCGUCCGUCAGAGACCAACCAAAACCAGUCAAUUUGUGUCGUCUGAGUACCAAUACAAUGAUUAAAACUUUCAACAACGGAUCUCUUGGUUCUGGCAUCGAUGAAGAACGCAGCAUCUGAC